GGAAGGAAAUCACGGCCGGUGCCGUGGCCGGGCUUCAAACCCGGUUGGGGUUGUCAGUCAAUCCCGGGUGGGUUCGACUCCCACUUUCUUCCGCCA
rnacentral:tRNA from 1 species